UACGUAGGGUGCGAGCGUUGUCCGGAAUUACUGGGCGUAAAGAGCUCGUAGGCGGUGUGUCGCGUCGGCCGUGAAAACCUGCAGCUUAACUGUGGGCGUGCGGUCGAUACGGGCAUCACUGGAGUUCGGCAGGGGAGACUGGAAUUCCUGGUGUAGCGGUGAAAUGCGCAGAUAUCAGGAGGAACACCGGUGGCGAAGGCGGGUCUCUGGGCCGAUACUGACGCUGAGGAGCGAAAGCGUGGGGAGCGAACAGG
rnacentral:rRNA from 1 species